UUGACUAUUGUUGGAACUAGGGUUCCGGUUCUUAGUGAAAUCGAAGGUUUUUUGGUCACCAGGCCAUGAAAUUGAUCAAAGGGGUACAGUUUAGAGUGAUUUCCAUAUCAAGUAGAACAGUAGCUCCAUUAAAGUCAAGGUCUCGAAACUCCAUGGUCAAUCACCAUCAACAUUCUACUUCUUUAUUUGUUCCAGAGGUUUGUCUUCCUUUAUUACGAGUUUUAUAACCUUUUUAAUCAAACUCAAUUAUCCCUCGAUACCUAAUGUUAUCUUUUGCGUUGUUGCUUCUGCUCUGUUCUUCUUGAAACCUCCCCACACUCUCAUGUCGAAACAUAAUUUAUGAUAUCAAGUUGGAAAUCAAUAGAAAUGGCUAUGAAGGUCGGUUGGGUUGGACGAUUCUCUGGAGGAUGAGAGAGAUUUGGACAUGGCAGAUCGUAGGGCUACAGAGAUUGAGCUUGAUACCAUGGAGGGUUUUGCGUCAAGGGAAAAGCUCCACCAUCAUCUCAACGACCAAGGUUUCUUGACUUGAAGUUUAGUUUGUCUAUCAUAUUUAGAGAUAAUAAACGAGUCUCUGGGAGGUAUGCAAUGAGCUUUAAGUAGGUCAAUUAAUAGAUCCCAUGAAUCCAAGUGCACCACUUGCAUGAGUUGGAUGAAGUUGUGGGUUACAUGAGCCUGUGUUACCCUUUUGGGCUAACUGCCUCGGUUCUGUUUGGAAGACAUCAUAAGGCCAUAUUACAAUCUCCAAAAAAAACUUUCCUUGUUCUUCUUUGCUUUAACUUCAUCAGCCUCCAGAUCUAAUAUUAAUUUUUCUCUUAGAUUCAGAAAUUGAUAAAUCUCUUAAACAAGGUUUAUCCCAUUUUUUUCUUCAGUAGUGUAGAAAGACAUGUUGCCAAUAUAUACGGUUGUUGAAUUUUGGAGUGCGUGUUCAUAUUCUUAUUGUGUUCCUGGAAACCUUUUGUCACGAUACGCUGAAAUCUUUGUUGGAUCCUGUAACAUUAACAUAGGUAAUGAAUAGAAUGCACACUGAUAAGUGAUAUUGGUAAUUUAGUAAUUUUAAAAAUAGGAAAAAUAUUGGAUAUUACCUUGAACAGCAACGCCAUUGCACCUUAUCUGAAAAUGAAGACAAGUAGUAUAUUGUGUUGUUACUCUCGAGUUAAUAGUUACACAUGCUUAUAGAAACAAAUCUGAUGAUGUUUAAAUUAGUAUGACUAUCACAUUUGUUGCAUGAAAUUAUUCUUACAGAACCAACUCUGAUGAUGUUUAAAUUAGAUGAGAAGCUGAAGUUGAUAGAAUCUCGUCUGGAAAGCAAAAAUUGAGGGCCCACUUCAGGCUUACAUCCUCGUUGACGUACAUCACGUGAUAUUCCUCCGGUGUGGAGUUAAGAAUUUGGGGGUUUCUUUCAAGAAGCAAGUAAAAUGUACAGCAACUAAAGUUUACUUGGUCUCAAAUUCUUCUUGCCCAGGUUCCAAUGGCUCCAAAACAGCCAAACACAGGACUCUUUGUGGGUCUAAAUAAAGGGCAUGUUGUCACCAAGAAGGAAUUAGCACCUCGUCCUUCCGACAGAAAAGGGGCUUAUCAAGAUAUUCUCUAGCUUUGAGAGCUGCAUAAGGCUAAUGAUUAAAAAAAGAAAAAAUGGAGAUUCUAAAGAUCAUCAUCCAAAUGCACCAAAAUUUAGAGUAAGAUCGAACCACUAUUAAUGAAGGUAUUCUACUGGGCUAGGAUGCUUGUUGUUUGGAUAUGGAGCCAUGGAAGAACUUGGACCCUUCCGUGUUAACAGUGAUGGAAAAACACUCUACCCCAACCACUAUGCAUGGAACAAUGGUGCAUGCCUAACCCUAUAAAACCUUUGCUUUUGAGGUACUAACUGUUUUCUCCUGGAAUUUUUUUUGCCUGAGAUUUUUUGCUGCCAGCUAUCCCUUCGGGACCACUCUUAUGUAUUAUGUUAAAAGCACCAAUUCAGAAAUUUGCUGAUUAUCUUUUAGGUGUUGGUGUCAAGCUUGUUGGCAAUACAGUGUGGAGUACCCUCUUUCAUCAAUUCUUAAUAGUGAUGUCACGUGAGAAAUCAUUUUUCUUUUUGUUAAACAAGUCUUUAUUAUCAUGUAUUAGGUCAUACCAUGGGUAAAAACAGCCUUGCCCCUGGUUCCGGGGUUGUCACAAAAUACUUGACUUUUUAACUUUGUUUGUGGUUUCAUUUAGUAAUAAUCCUUCUGAGGGGGUGUUUGUUGGGCUGCUUCUUUCAAUGUCA